CAGAGGUGGCAAGCGUUGUUCGGAAUUACUGGGCGUAAAGGGCGCGUAGGCGGCCUACUAAGUCAGACGUGAAAUCCCCGGCUUAACCUGGGAACUGCGUCUGAUACUGGAAGGCUAGAGUAUGGGAGAGGGAUGUAGAAUUCCAGGUGUAGCGGUGAAAUGCGUAGAUAUCUGGAGGAAUACCGGUGGCGAAGGCGGCAUCCUGGACCAUUACUGACGCUGGGGCGCGAAAGCUAGGGGAGCAAACGGGAUUAGAUACCCCGGUAGUCCUAGCCCUAAACGAUGAAUGCUUGGUGUGGCGGGUAUCGAUCCCUGCCGUGCCGAAGCUAACGCAUUAAGCAUUCCGCCUGGGGAGUACGGUCGCGAGGCUG
rnacentral:rRNA from 1 species